rnacentral:lncRNA from 1 species
ACAAGAAGGCAGAUAGCGAACGCUGUAUUUUACUGCAGAUGGUUUAUAAAUACCCCCACCAGUUAAACCAGUCAAUAGUAUGAAAGAGAGCAUAUUUGGUAACGAUAGAGACAACAAAGAUGUGUCUUUUAUUAUCCCCCCCACCCCACCACUCCCCCCACUCGUCUUGCCCAUGUGUAAGGAACAAGGCUUAUGGGUAAUGUAGUUCUUCAAUACCUGUCAGGACACACGACAAAACAGUGAACGUUUUGCACACAACGGGUUGAAAAGUUGCCUAACUCGGAAAAAACGUAGUUCUUUACUGAACCCAUCCAGUCACCAUAAUCCCACAUGAAACGAGGUAAACUACAAAGCACAGCAACGUCCACAGAGUGGGCAACCGCCCACGGAACUGGCUAAACUACAAAGCAUAGCAACGUCCACAGAGUGGGCACCGCCCACGGAACUGGCUAAACUACAAAGCACAGCAACGUCCACAGAGUGGGCAACCGCCCACGGAACUGGCUAAACUACAAAGCAUAGCAACGUCCACAGAGUGGGCAACCGCCCACGGAACUGGCUAAACUACAAAGCACAGCAACGUCCACAGAGUGGGCAACCGCCCACGGAACUGGCUAAACUACAAAGCAUAGCAACGUCCACAGAGUGGGCACCGCCCACGGAACUGGCUAAACUACAAAGCAUAGCAACUUCCACAGAGUGGGCAACCGCCCACGGAACUGGCUAAACUACAAAGCACAGCAACUUCCACAGAGUGGGCAACCGCCCACGGAACUGGCUAAACUACAAAGCAUAGCAACGUCCACAGAGUGGGCACCGCCCACGGAACUGGCUAAACUACAAAGCAUAGCAACUUCCACAGAGUGAGCGUCGCCCACGGAACUGGCCAAUCAGAACGCUCACAGAAGUGGCGGUAAAACCAUCGCGAGACCAGACAACAGUUGCUAUGCUAGCUGUCUACACAAAAUCGCCUCACACUACGACUUUCGUAAUACAACAAUUAACCGCUACGUCGGUAAAAUACGAUAUAUAUAUAUAUAUAUAUAGAAUACGGUAUAUAUACGGUAUAUAUAUAUAUAUACCAGUGUUCAACUGGAAAGGCGAACUACACCAAAGAUAUCUCCCACUUAAGGAAAAUGGAAACAGUUGCGGGUCAGAAAGAGAAGGCGAAGUUUGCCCGCUGGUGCCCCGUGAGAAGAAGCCAGGGCAUGGAGAGAAAGGAGAGGUGAAAAAGAGUGAGAAUAAGUGGAAAGAAGAGGGGGGUGGAAAUAAGGAGAGAAACAUUGAUGUAGGAAAGAAGACAGGAGAAUCAUGUGAAGGAGAGAGAGGAGUAGAGAGCAAGGCUAAGGCCUCUGAGUUAGAGAAGAAAAGAGGAGAACGGAUGAAGAAAGAAGGUAAGAAGAAGAUGGCAGAUACAGAAAAAGCGAGGGCUGCCGUUGAAGGGUUACCCCAACAACAGGAAGGUGAAGAGGGAGAGAGAGGAGGAGGAGAGGGAGUGAAGGAGAAUAAAAAACAGAAAAAUAAGGAGGAAGACCAAUCCAGUAAGGAAACAGAUCAAGGGAAGGAGAGAAUGAAUGUGAAAAGAAGAAAGAGAAUGAGAAGGUCAGAAAGGAAAGGAAAGAGACGAAAAGAAGAGACAGAGGGAUGAGACAGA